GUGCUUACUUCUGCAGCACAUAUACUAAAAUUAGAAUGAUACAGAGAUUAGCAUGGCCCCCCUGCACAAGGAAGACAUGCAAAUUCGUAAAGCGUUCCAUAUUUUA
ensembl:snRNA U6 U6 spliceosomal RNA